UGCCAGCAGUCGCGGUUAUACCAAAAAAUUAAGUCAUACCACUCCGGUAAAAAGACAGUUAGACAUGUUAAAUAGUCUAUAAAAUAUUGAUAUAAAGGUAAAAUUUGUAUAUCAGUUAGUAGUUUAAUAAUGACCUUAAAUGUUGAAUCUGUGACAGCUUUGAGGGAAACUGGGAUUGGAUACCCCACUAUUCUUAGCUGUAAACUUGAUUAGCUUGAUUUACCAGAGCACUACGAACUAAAAAUUUAAAACUCAAAGGGCUUGGCGGUGUUUUAGACCAUUCAGGGGAACCUGUCUCAUAAUCGACAAUCCACGUUAAACCUGACCUUUUUUCGUAAUCAGCCCGUAUACCGUCGUCGUCAGGUAACUUCUAAAAAUUUAAAAGUUAGCUAGAAAACUACUAAUAAGUUAAAACGUCAGAUCAGGGUGCAGCCUAUAAAAAGGGGAGGAUGGGUUACAAUUAAAUAUUCUUAACUACGGAAAGUUAUUCAGAAAGAUAACUUGAAGGAGGACUUGAAAGUAAUUUUUUUUACAUAAAUUAUAUGAAUUAGGCUCUGAAACGUGCACACAUCGCCCGUCGCUCU
rnacentral:rRNA from 1 species